AAAAAAAAGAUUGUAUCUCAAAAUAAAAAAAAUAAAAAUGGCUGUGGUUGUAGGUCAGUGGUAGAGCAUCCCCCUGGGUUGGGUUCAAUCCUCAGUACCAAAAAAAAAAAAAAAAAGUUCUAUUGUCUAUCCUAAAUUUACUUUGUCAGUCCUCUACUUCAGAAAGCAUUUAUUUCCAGGCUUUUGUUAUUAAUAAUAAUGCAACAAUGAAUAAUCUUAUAUAUUAGUAUAUUUAGUAUUGUACAUGAGUAUAUAUGUAUGAUAAAUUCUAGAAACAGGAUUGGUUGGUUAAAAAUAUAUGCAUUUGUAAUCUUGAUACUAUGAGAUUGUCCUGCAGAAGGACAUGGCUCAUAGUAGAGGCUGAAGACUGGUGGCCUGUUGCCAUGCUUUGACUUGCAUGGUGUAGUAUUUUUAUAAAAUUAAAUGCUAAUUUUUAUGUUGAUGAAGAUGUGAAGCAACUAGAACUCUCACACUCUGCUAAUGGGAGUGUCAAGAAUUACAUUUCAGAAAUGUUUGGCAGUUUCUACAGAUGCCUAUGCUAUCAUUUAUGGUUUAAUCAGUAGUAGAAGGGAUUUCUUAUAGGGAUUUGACUAGAUAAUUGUGGAAGUUGUUUAAGAGUCUCCAAUCUCUGUAACACUUUUGUUUUUGCACCUAAUUCUGGAGCUUAAAGUCUACAAGAAGGCCGAUGGGAAGAUGAAUAUAAGGCAGGGGACAGAAAGAACACACUGGAAUCCACGAGCAUAAGCUGGAAGGCUUGAGGACAAACUGGAACUCAUGUCAGUUCUCACUGCCUCUAAUCUGGAUGUGAAUAAACUGCAGAAGCAGCUGGCCCAGGAGUCAGAGAAGUGAAAGA
rnacentral:lncRNA from 1 species